AAAUUUAGAAAUAUGAUCUUUGUUCUUAAAUUUAGAAUUGAAUGGCUUUUAAUAUAAAUGUUCCUCUAAGGAUUUUUUUUUUUUUUUUAGGUGGUACAGGGGAUUGAACCCAGGACCUCAUAUAUGGGAAGCAGGCACUCAACCACCGAGCUACAUGAAUGGCUUUUAAGAUGGAUUCAUGCUAGCCCAGCUUCUAAGAGCAUGGGACCUUAAAAAAGGACUCCUCCCUGGAGGGCAGCCUGCAAUCAGAAGGCCUCAGAGUAAGAGCAUCUGUGGUGCACAUCAGUGGCCAGAGCUGACGGAGGGUCAGAAGCUGUCAACUGAAGGAGAGAUGUGAAAUGAAGAGAGAGAGAGGCAGCUGCAGAGCCCAGCAGGGACCCUCUGAGCCCCCACAAAAGUGAACAUGAGAAAAAGAGGCAGCUUUCAACACCUGCUGGGUGCAGAGAUUGCAAAGCCAUCUUAUGAAAGUGUCAAGUGAGAGCUUUCCCACAUCCUCCUUCUACCUUCUUUCCCUAUGUCCCAUGACAGGGCCAGAAAUCAGGAGAAGCAAGUUCAGGGAAGAGAUGGAGGGAGACUG
rnacentral:lncRNA from 1 species